UGGGGAAUAUUGGACAAUGGGCGAAAGCCUGAUCCAGCCAUGCCGCGUGUGUGAAGAAGGUCUUCGGAUUGUAAAGUCCUUUAAGUUGGGAGGAAGGGCAGUAAGCGAAUACCUUGCUGCUUUGACGUUACCGACAGAAUAAGCACCGGCUAACUCUGUGCCAGCAGCCGCGGUAAUACAGAGGGUGCAAGCGUUAAUCGGAAUUACUGGGCGUAAAGCGCGCGUAGGUGGUUCGUUAAGUUGAAUGUGAAAGCCCCGGGCUCAACCUGGGAACUGCAUCCAAAACUGGCGAGCUAGAGUAGGGCAGGGGGUGGUGGAAUUUCCUGUGUAGCGGUGAAAUGCGUAGAUAAAGGAAGGAACACCAGUGGCGAAGGCAACCACCUGGGCUCAUACUGACACUGAGGUGCGAAAGCGUGGGGAGCAAACAGG
rnacentral:rRNA from 1 species